CUAUUCUAAGGCGCUUGAGAGAACUCUGGAGAAGGAACUCGGCAAAUUGACACCGUAACUUCGGAAGAAGGUGUGCCUUUAGUAGGUGAUCCAUUUACUUGGUGAGCCCAAUGAGGCCGCAGAGAAUCGGUGGCUGCAACUGUUUAUUAAAAACACAGCACUCUGCAAAGACGAAAGUCGACGUAUAGGGUGUGACUCCUGCCCGGUGCUGGAAGAUUAAAUGAUGGGGUGCAAGCUCUUGACUGAAGUCCCAGUAAACGGCGGCCGUAACUAUAACGGUCCUAAGGUAGCGAAAUUCCUUGUCGGGUAAGCUCCGACCUGCACGAAUGGAGUAAUGAUGGCCACACUGUCUCCUCCAGAGACUCAGCGAAGUUGAAAUGUUUGUGAUGAUGCAAUCUCCCCGCGGAAAGACGGAAAGACCCCAUGAACCUUUACUGUAGCUUUACAUUGGACUUUGAACAGAUCUGUGUAGGAUAGGUGGGAGGCUUUGAAGUAGGGACGCUAGUUUCUAUGGAGCCAACGUUGAAAUACCACCCUGGUGUGUUUGAGGUUCUAACCUUGUCCCGUUAUCCGGGAUGGGGACAGUGUAUGGUGGGCAGUUUGACUGGGGCGGUCUCCUCCCAAAGUGUAACGGAGGAGUUCUAAGGUACGCUAAAUACGGUCGGAAAUCGUGUUGAUAGUGCAUUGGCAUAAGCGUGCUUGACUGCGAGACUGACAAGUCGAGCAGGUACGAAAGUAGGACAAAGUGAUCCGGUGGUUCUGUAUGGAAGGGCCAUCGCUCAACGGAUAAAAGGUACUCUGGGGAUAACAGGCUGAUACCGCCCAAGAGUUCAUAUCGACGGCGGUGUUUGGCACCUCGAUGUCGGCUCAUCUCAUCCUGGGGCUGUAGCCGGUCCCAAGGGUAUGGCUGUUCGCCAUUUAAAGAGGUACGUGAGCUGGGUUUAAAACGUCGUGAGACAGUUUGGUCCCUAUCUUCCGUGGGCGCUGCAAGAUUGAGAGAGCCUGCUCCUAGUACGAGAGGACCGGAGUGGACGCACCUCUGGUGUAUCGGUUGUCACGCCAGUGGCAUCGCCGAGUAGCUAAGUGCGGAAGAGAUAACCGCUGAAAGCAUCUAAGCGGGAAACUCGUCUCAAGGUGAGUCUUGCCGGGGCCUAGAGCCCCCUGAAGGGUCGUUCGAGACCAGGACGUUGACAGGCUGGGUGUGGAAGCGCAGUAAUGCGUUAAGCUAACCAGUACUAAUUGCCCGUGAGGCUUGACCCU
rnacentral:rRNA from 1 species